AACGUACGCUGGCGGCACGCCUAACACAUGCAAGUCGAACGAAGUAGCAAUACUUAGUGGCAGACGGGUGAGUAACAUGUAGGUAUCUGCCCUUUGGCCUGGAAUAACACGAGGAAACUUGUGCUAAUACCGGAUAAGUCUUUACGGAGAAAGCUUUAUGCACCAUUGGAUGAGCCUGCACUUGAUUAGUUUGUUGGUGGGGUAAUGGCCUACCAAGACUGUGAUCAAUAGCUGAUUUGAGAGGAUGACCAGCCACAUUGGGACUGAGACACGGCCCAAACUCCUACGGGAGGCAGCAGUGGGGAAUCUUGCACAAUGGAGGAAACUCUGAUGCAGCGAUGCCGCGUGAGUGAAGAAGGCCCUUGGGUUGUAAAGCUCUUUCGUCGGGGAAGAAAAUGACUGUACCCGAAUAAGAAGGUCCGGCUAACUUCGUG
rnacentral:rRNA from 1 species